CCCUUAUCCUUUGUUGCCAGCGGUCCGGCCGGGAACUCAAAGGAGACUGCCAGUGAUAAACUGGAGGAAGGUGGGGAUGACGUCAAGUCAUCAUGGCCCUUACGACCAGGGCUACACACGUGCUACAAUGGCGCAUACAAAGAGAAGCGACCUCGCGAGAGCAAGCGGACCUCAUAAAGUGCGUCGUAGUCCGGAUUGGAGUCUGCAACUCGACUCCAUGAAGUCGGAAUCGCUAGUAAUCGUGGAUCAGAAUGCCACGGUGAAUACGUUCCCGGGCCUUGUACACACCGCCCGUCACACCAUGGGAGUGGGUUGCAAAAGAAGUAGGUAGCUUAACCUUCGGGAGGGCGCUUACCACUUUGUGAUUCAUGACUGGGGUGAAGUCGUAACAAGGUAACCGUAGGGGAACCUGCGGUUGGAUCACCUCCUUACCUGAAAGAAGC
rnacentral:rRNA from 1 species